UACGAAUGGGGCAAGCGUUGUUCGGAAUCACUGGGCUUAAAGCGUGCGCAGGCGGAUUCGCAAGUCAGAAGUGAAAUCCCGGGGCUUAACCCCGGAAUUGCUUUUGAAACUGCAAAUCUAGAAUCCCGGAGAGGUUAGGAUAAUUCCGAGUGUAGAGGUGAAAUUCGCAGAUAUUCGGAGGAACACCAGUGGCGAAAGCGGCCACCUGGACUGCACCUGACGCUGACACGCGAAAGCUAGGGGAGCGAACGGG
rnacentral:rRNA from 1 species